GGCGCCGCGGCGGGACGUAGCUGAAGGCGGAGAGCGCCGAGAGGGGCAGCGGCCGGGGCUUGAUCCGCAGCGUGGCGGCGGUGCGUCCCUGGAGUCCGAGCUGCAGACGGGGUUCCCGGGUGGGAGACGCCUCUGGGAUCAGCGCCUUCCAACCCGCUGACCCUUCCCCGCUCAGCGUCAGACCCCUCACCCAGACCACUCGUUUGUGGGCCGUUUGACCGCGCACCUGCUACGUGCGGGCGUUGGAGGGGCAACCUUGAACCGAGCCGCGGGCGUCCACCUGGAGCUCGCAGUCCGCUGAUAGAAGGGAAAAGACCAGUGACUUGAAGAGGACUAGAGCAGCGCCGCCCAACAGCGACAUAGUGGGAGCCGCACACGUAAUUUAAAACUUUCCGGUCCCCUCUGAAAAGGUAAAAAGACACAGGUGAAAUUCAUUGUAACGAUAUAUUCAUUUUACUCGG